rfam:Paxillus rubicundulus Ve08.2h10 scaffold_1915_c1, whole genome shotgun sequence.
AGACUGGUAGCUCAGUUGGAAGAGUGCCACUGUACUAGACUGGAGACCACAGGUUCAAUCCCUGCCUAGUCUG